GAUCAGUUGUGGUGGUCGCAGGUUCUGCAAUUAUUGUCGUAGUAGAAGCUGUAGUUUUGAUUGGAGUUGUAGGAGCUUCAGUUGUUGUUGUAGGAGCUGCAGUUGUCGAAUGGGAUGUUGUUUUGGUUGUUAUAGGUGCUAUAGUUGUUGUAGAAGAAGCUUCCGUUGUGUUUGUAGUAAGGGCUGCAGUCAUGGUUGUGGAUGAAGCUUCAGUUCUGGUUGUAGUAGGGAAUGCAGUAGUGGUUGUGGAAGCAGCUACAGUUGUUGAGGUCGGAGCUGUGGUUGUGGUUGUCAUAGGAGUUAAAAUGGUAGUUGUAUCUACAGUUGUGAUUGGCGUUGUAGGAACUACAGUUGUUGUUGUCGGAGCUGCAGUUGUCGAAGGGGAUGUUGUUGUAGAAUAAGCUUCAGUU
rnacentral:lncRNA from 1 species